CAGCUGCCAAUCCAGGUUGCAAAGUGCAUGAGAAAACUUUAUCCAUACCCAGGCAAGAGCCCCAGAAAUUCUGUAAUCAUUUGCAUUUAAUGCAGUCCAGGAGCAUAAGUGUUUCUAAAAUGCUCUGUAAAUAAUUCUAAUAUGCAAUCAGGUUUGAGAAUCACUCUAGAUUAAAAAGUACCUUGUCUCAAGUCUGUUUCUGUCAAUCCUCCGGAGUCCAUAUGGCAAGGAAGUAUAAUAAGAUUUGGGAAAAUCAUUAGUGAUCAUCUUGAAAACUAUAGAAGGGUCACUAUGACUUGUGUGUGUCUCUCAAUCAAAAAACUAAAGCAAAGGUACUUUUCACAUUUGAUGUAACACGAAAAGGUUGUUUCUGAGGAAGAGACAAUAUGUUUUCUGCUAAUAAACUCCAGGGUGGCUUUGUGGCUGUCUUGAUUAAUUGGUGACUAUGAAAUAACCAGUGCUCGGGGAUACAUGAGACAGCAAAGGAUUGUAAGUGACAAUUUGCUGUUAAAAUUCAUCGGCCCCUGCAAAGCGCCUUGAUUAAUAAAGUCACUGUGCUUGUCUCCACGCUGAGGAGGGGGCUCCUGUAGAAGGAAGGGAAAACAAAUUUGCAAGGAUGCUCUCGCUAAAGAGGUUCGGCACCCGGUUGCAUUUAAUCUCUCUGCUGUUGCAUCAGGCAAGUACCUUCUCCCUCUCAAUUAUUCACUAGUGCUGCCAUUAAUCACAGCCCACUGUAAAGGAAAGUAGGGAGGAGGUAGGGGAGACAGAACUCUCCUUCUCGGCUUGUAGCUGGGGAGAAUGAUUGGUAAGCAGGGGACCCAGGAGGGGAACUGCUGGGUUAUGACCAACCAGAGGAACUUAAAAUAGGAUUUGCAGAGUUGAGCCUCAGCAGGCCACAGCUGGAUGCUCUUCUGCCUGCCACAGCCUCUGUGGAGAAGGUUCUUGGUGCAACAUCGCCAUCUACAGGUAACUGUGAGAACUGCUUUGUGGGAGUUGCUGAGCUCGGGAAACUGCCCUGAAAUGAGAUCAAGGUAACCCCAGAGGUUUUGCACUAGCCAGGGAAGUAGGACAACAUUGGUUUUCAUGGCACAGGGCUACCUUCCUUGGUGUUUGGACCUACAGCUUGUCAUCCUGCCUGAUGUUAAGCUAGUACCAACGUGAGAAUAUCACGAACAAUGGAUUCCCAUGAGAUUUCAUGAAUGACCCAUUUGUUCCUAGAGAAAACAAAACCAAACAAAAACAACAGCUUACCCAAGCUUAGAAGUCUACCCAGUCAGAGAGGUCUGCUACACUGCAUUAGACCUUCCUUUGAAAACAGUCUAAGGGUUUCUAAGAGCCAUUUUUUCUAAAAUCAGUGUUAAAAUAUUUCUAAACUCAAUAUAAGGAAAACUGUUUUAAUGUUAUAUGGUUAUAUUUUUCAGGCACAUUUUCCAAGAUGCUUUCUGAUACAUGAUGAAUGAGAACCCAGUAUUGGUACAGCUCAAAACUCUAAUAUGUCAGAAAUGGAAGGGUCUGUUGGGAGUGUAUAUACUUCAAUGUUUCUGCAGUACCCUAGGAGUUUACAAAUAUGAUCCCAUUUAAUACACACAAAAACCUGUGUAUGUGCUGGUAUCCCCAUUGCAUAGAUGAGACUAAUUCAGAGGAGAAGUCUUAAAGAAUAUGUCAUCUCAGCUCUGCUAAUGUGAGCUGUGUGACUUUGAACAGGUCACUUGAUCUCUCUGAGACUUCUUUCUUUCUUUUUUCUUUUUUUUUAAUGUGUACAUCGAUGAGGUUGGAUGAAAGAAAACAAUUUGGGAUGCUUGAAUAUAAGUUGAAAACAAAGAAAUACAUUGAAGCUUGAGGUCUCUUAGGUCACAAAUUACCAAGAAUCUCAGCCCCAGAAACAUGCAGUAACCUGCCCAGAAAAAUACUCAGCAAGUAAAAUGCUUCUUCAGCAAUGGAUCUUAAGUCUUGGCCCCAAAGCCUAUCCUUCGAAUCCAAGUUGUAAUUCUCUCAAGUUGCUGUUAGAUUCCAGGAUCCUCAUACUGUAUAUUUGACCACUGAGAAGAAAUUACUGGUUUAUUUAUUUGAUCUAGACUUUCCAAAAGUGCCUGUGAAGACUACAGAAAAUAUAAAUAAACAGCCCCAAUAUUUCCCUCAGCAGCCUACUA